UGAUAACCCGCAAACGGUGCGGAGGCUU
rnacentral:sRNA from 1 species